rnacentral:rRNA from 1 species
ACACCUACGGGGGGCAGCAGUGAGGAAUAUUGGUCAAUGGCCGUAAGGCUGAACCAGCCAAGUAGCGUGAGGGAAGACUGCCCUAUGGGUUGUAAACCUCUUUUAUGCGGGGAUAAAGGUGUCCACGUGUGGAUGUUUGCAGGUACCGCAUGAAUAAGGACCGGCUAAUUCCGUGCCAGCAGCCGCGGUAAUACGGAAGGUCCGGGCGUUAUCCGGAUUUAUUAGGUUUAAAGGGAGCGUAGGCCGGUCUUUAAGCGCGCCGUGAAAUUUUGUGGCUCAAAUAUGAGAGUGAGGGGAG